AGUUAAUAUAUCAUUAAAAAUUCUAAGCCGUCCCUGCUUAUGAGUAAUACUGUUUGUUUCGCAACAUAGUAAAAUCAUAGGAAAUUUCCUGUUUACUUGUAUAAACAUUUAUUAUUCUAGAAUGAAUCCUCAAAAAGUCCCAGUAUAUUUCCCUUAAGUUUUGAGCGCUAAAAACCCUAUGAUAUUAUUGGUCUGAAUUUUGAAAGAUCCUUGAGUUGUAGUUGACGAUUGGUCAAUAGUUUUGGUCGGAAGAUCGAGAAGAAAUGCAUCCGUUGGACGCGAGAGAGACGUGACUAUGCAAGGCAGUUCUAAAAGUACUGUAGUUCGAAGAGUGUGUUCGAAGGUUGAACAUAUCUUUUUGAUAGAACUCAACAGACUCAAAAAGAAACGCACUUUGCCGGCUUUAAAAUGGUUUUAUUUUUAUGGUAAAAGAAGUGAAGGACUGGCAGUUUGUCCAGUAAAUGUCAAGGAAUAUUAUUACAAUAGUUUCACAACAUUUUACAUGGAUAUAUUCUUGUGAAACACUAUUAUUGUUAUGCAGUUUGAUUUGCCGGUAAAAAAGAAGUGCGUGGUUCCUGGUUCCUGUUUUUAUGAUGUUAUGGUAACAUUCCUGUAUUGAAGUAUCCCGAUUAUCUUUGAUUUGGUAUCAAUUUUAUCCAGUGUCCUGUGGUUUAAAAUUGAAUGUCUCCCCUCCCAGCCCCGCUUAGAAUGGAAAAUUUUGGAUAAGUGUUUGAACGUGUGACAUGGAUUUUUGUUUUAAGUUUUAGAAUAGAAGAAAAUGUAAUGGCAUAGAAGCCAAUAAAGGUAAAUGAUAGCCCAGUAUAACCCCAACGAGGAAUCUACGAUGAAUGUCCCCCCAGUUGGUUUCCAGUAA
rnacentral:lncRNA from 1 species